rnacentral:lncRNA from 14 species
GGGACGCUCUUCUCCUCCCCAUAAAGCUGGGGCUAUGGGGCCGGGCUGUCCGAGUUACUCAGAAUCAUGUUUUCUGCCUCAAAACUGGCCCAUGGCUCAGUGCGGCUGUGAGCAGGUUAUGGCAAACACACACUGAGGAGGCUGCAGCAUUUUAGGGAGUGCAUCCAGUUCAUCCAUGAAUGCCGGCUUGGGGGGGGAGCCUGCCUCGUCCAUUGCCUGGCCGGGGUAUCCCGCAGCACCACUGUCGUGGUGGCUUAUCUCAUGACGGUGACGGAGCUGGGCUGGGAGCGCUGCCUGGCUGCUACCAGGGCUGUGAGGUCCUAUGUGAGCCCCAACUUUGGCUUCCAGCAGCAGCUGCAGGAGUACGAGAUGACCUUGCUGCAGGAGGAGGCAAGUGUGCAGCAGCUGUGGUGAAUCCCACUAUCCGAGGGAGUGGAUUUAGGAAAUCCCAACAUUCCACGUGGAAAUCCCCUCUGUCUGAGCUGACUUCCCCUGGCUGCAGGAGGUGCGGAUGCCACCAGGGUCAGUCCCAGCUCAUGGUCCCUGUGCCU